GAGUUUUGACAGAAACAGAGAAAGAGAAAGCGAGAGAGGAGAAAGACGAAGAGGAAGUGGUGUUCAGAAUUCGAGGGUCUUUUGGUUUCAUUGGUGUUUUUGUGGCUAUUAUUAGGUCUGUCUAUUUAUGGUUUGGAGGUAGAGGAUAGCGUUGGUUCAUUUAAUUUUUCCUUUUGUCACUGUCACCACCUUCUGGUUUUCUGGUGUUUUUCUUUAUUUCAUUGCUGUUUGGUUUGUUGUUUGUAGGUUAUGGGGAUUUCGAUGAGAGGGUUUCGGCUUAGAUCUGCACAACGAAGGUUGCCCUGACUAUGCUUUCUGGAGAGAAUCUUUGUUGUCCGG
rnacentral:lncRNA from 1 species